GGGCACCGCCAGCGCGGAGACCGCCGGCAUCCCGCCGUUCCAGGCCCUUGAUCGAUCUCCGCAGAAAGCCUCUGAGAGCAGAAUGGACAGCUUACCUUUCCACGGCACCUGUCAAACUAAAGCAAGACAGUGACAGAGCACUGAAGUGCCACCUUCUUGGGCUUGAAGAGUGGCUGAUAUUGCACCACAUACUACACGACUGACGGAAAAUGACAUUUGGACAAGGACACAGGGACCAGUUCCAUUAAUGACAACACCUGGAAGGAGCAAUGGAGCAGCUGAGAGCAGCCCAUUUAGGAUGAAGGUGAAGCCAUGCGAAAUCUUGCACAACCAUCACUUUGAGA